rnacentral:rRNA from 1 species
AAUGAACGUUGGCGGCGUGGAUUAGGCAUGCAAGUCGAGCGAGAAAUUCGCCUUCGGGCGAAUGGACAGCGGCGAAAGGGAUAGUAACACGUAGAAACGUACCCUCGGGUCAGGGAUAGCGUUGGGAAACUGACAGUAAUACCUGAUAAUGUCUUCGGACCAAAGAUUUAUUGCCCGUGGAUCGGUCUGCGUCCUAUUAGUUUGUUGGUGGGGUAAUGGCCCACCAAGACCUUGAUGGGUAGCGGGUGUGAGAGCACGACCCGCAUCACUGGGACUGAGACACUGCCCAGACACCUACGGGUGGCUGCAGUCGAGAAUCUUCCGCAAUGGACGAAAGUCUGACGGAGCGACGCCGCGUGCGGGAUGAAGGCCUUCGGGUUGUAAACCGCUGUCGAAGGGGAGCAAAUUUUGAGCGAUCCUUGGAGGAAGCACCGGCUAAACUCGUG